rnacentral:rRNA from 1 species
GGGAAAUCUUUCGGAUGAGUAAGCGGCGGACGGGUGAGUAAUACAUGGGAAUCUGCCUGGUAGUGGGGGACAACGUUUCGAAAGGAACGCUAAUACCGCAUACGCCCUACGGGGGAAAGGGGGGGAUCUUCGGACCUCUCGCUAUCAGAUGAGCCCAUGUCGGAUUAGCUAGUUGGUGGGGUAAAGGCUCACCAAGGCGACGAUCCGUAACUGGUCUGAGAGGAUGAUCAGUCACACUGGAACUGAGACACGGUCCAGACUCCUACGGGAGGCAGCAGUGGGGAAUAUUGGACAAUGGGCGCAAGCCUGAUCCAGCCAUGCCGCGUGUGUGAAGAAGGCCUUAGGGUUGUAAAGCACUUUCAGUGGGGAGAAAGGUCAUUCACCUAAUACGUGAGUGAAUUGAUGUUACCCACAGAAGAAGCACCGGCUAACUCCGUGCCAGACC